AGAUCCGUGGUGAAAUGGUAGCACAGCAGUCUCCAAAACUGUUUGUCCGGGUUCAAAUCCUGGUGGGUCUG
rnacentral:tRNA from 1 species